AUACGGAGGGUGUAAGCGUUAUUCGGAAUCACUGGGCGUAAAGGACGCGUAGGCGGGUUGGCAAGUCAGAUGUGAAAUCCUACAGCUUAACUGUAGAACUGCAUUUGAAACUGCUAACCUAGAGUAUGGGAGGGGGAGAUGGAAUUAGUGGUGUAGGGGUAAAAUCCGUAGAUAUCACUAGGAAUACCGAAAGCGAAGGCGAUCUCCUGGAACAUAACUGACGCUAAGGCGUGAAAGCGUGGGGAGCAAACAGGAUUAGAUACCCCAGUAGUCC
rnacentral:rRNA from 1 species